AAUGAACGCUGGCGGCAGGCCUAACACAUGCAAGUCGAACGAGUGGCGGACUGGUGAGUAAUGUCUGGGAAACUGCCUGAUGGAGGGGGAUAACUACUGGAAACGGUAGCUAAUCCCGCAUACCAUCAGAUGGGCCCAGAUGGGAUUAGAUAGUAGGUGGGGUAACGGCUCACCUAGGCGACGAUCCCUAGCUGGUCUGAGAGGAUGACCGGCCACACUGGAACUGAGAAACGGUCCAGACUCCUACGGGAGGCAGCAGUGGGGAAUAUUGCACAAUGGGCGAAAGCCUGAUGCAGCGAUGCCGCGUGAGUGAAGAAGGCCUUCGGGUUGUAAAGCACUUUCAGCGGGGAGGCGGUACCCGCAGAAGAAGCACCGGCUAACUCCGUGCCAGCAGCCGCGGUAAUAC
rnacentral:rRNA from 1 species